GAUGAACGCUGGCGGCGUGCCUAAUACAUGCAAGUCGAGCGAACAGAUGAGGAGCUUGCUCCUCUGACGUUAGCGGCGGACGGGUGAGUAACACGUGGAUAACCUACCUAUAAGACUGGGAUAACUUCGGGGAACCGGAGCUAAUACCGGAUAAUAUAUUGAACCGCAUGGUUCAAUAGUGAAAGACGGUUUUGCUGUCACUUAUAGAUGGAUCCGCGCCGCAUUAGCUAGUUGGUAAGGUAACGGCUUACCAAGGCAACGAUGCGUAGCCGACCUGAGAGGGUGAUCGGCCACACUGGAACUGAGACACGGUCCAGACUCCUACGGGAGGCAGCAGUAGGGAAUCUUCCGCGAUGGGCGAAAGCCUGACGGAGCAACGCCGCGUGAGUGAUGAAGGUCUUCGGAUCGUAAAACUCUGUUAUUAGGGAAGAACAAAUGUGUAAGUAACUAUGCACGUCUUGACGGUACCUAAUCAGAAAGCCACGGCUAACUACGUG
rnacentral:rRNA from 1 species